rnacentral:rRNA from 1 species
UGGGGAAUAUUGCACAAUGGGCGGAAGCCUGAUGCAGCAACGCCGCGUGCGGGAUGACGGCCUUCGGGUUGUAAACCGCUUUCGCCUGUGACGAAGCGUGAGUGACGGUAAUGGGUAAAGAAGCACCGGCUAACUACGUGCCAGCAGCCGCGGUGAUACGUAGGGUGCGAGCGUUGUCCGGAUUUAUUGGGCGUAAAGGGCUCGUAGGUGGUUGAUCGCGUCGGAAGUGUAAUCUUGGGGCUUAACCCUGAGCGUGCUUUCGAUACGGGUUGACUUGAGGAAGGUAGGGGAGAAUGGAAUUCCUGGUGGAGCGGUGGAAUGCGCAGAUAUCAGGAGGAACACCAGUGGCGAAGGCGGUUCUCUGGGCCUUUCCUGACGCUGAGGAGCGAAAGCGUGGGGAGCGAACAGGCUUAGAUACCCUGGUAGUCCACGCUGUAAACGGUGGGUACUAGGUGUGGGGUCCAUUCCACGGGUUCCGUGCCGUAGCUGACGCUUUAAGUACCCCGCCUGGGGAGUACGGCCGCAAGGCUAAAA